rnacentral:rRNA from 1 species
UGGGGAAUUUUCCGCAAUGGGCGCAAGCCUGACGGAGCAACGCCGCGUGAGGGAGGAAGGCCUGUGGGUUGUAAACCUCUUUUAUCAGGGAAGAAGCACUGACGGUACCUGAUGAAUCAGCAUCGGCUAACUCCGUGCCAGCAGCCGCGGUAAGACGGAGGAUGCAAGCGUUAUCCGGAAUUAUUGGGCGUAAAGCGUCCGCAGGCGGCUAUUCAAGUCUGCUGUCAAAGCCCAUAGCUCAACUGUGGAUCGGCAGUGGAAACUGAGUAGCUAGAGUACGGUAGGGGUAGAGGGAAUUCCCAGUGUAGCGGUGAAAUGCGUAGAUAUUGGGAAGAACACCAGUGGCGAAGGCGCUCUACUGGGCCGUAACUGACGCUGAGGGACGAAAGCUAGGGGAGCGAAAGGGAUUAGAUACCCCCGUAGUCC